GCGGAUAUGGUCAAAUGGUAAAAUU
rnacentral:tRNA from 2 species